CAGCAGCCGCGGUAAUACGGGGGGCGCAAGCGUUGCUCGGAAUCACUGGGCGUAAAGCGCGCGCAGGCGGCUGUUUAAGUUUGGUGUUUAAGCCCAGGGCUCAACCCUGGUACGCACUGAAAACUGGAUGGCUUGAGUACAGAAGAGGAGAGUGGAAUUCCAUGUGUAGCGGUGAAAUGCGUAGAGAUAUGGAGGAACACCAGUGGCGAAGGCGACUCUCUGGUCUGAAACUGACGCUGAGGCGCGAAAGCGUGGGGAGCAA
rnacentral:rRNA from 1 species